CGGACGGGUGAGUAACGCGUGAGAAUCUGCCCUUAGGCCGGGGACAACAGUUGGAAACGACUGCUAAUACCCGAUGAGCCGAGAGGUAAAACGAGAAAUCGCCUAGGGAUGAGCUCGCGUCUGAUUAGCUAGUUGGUAGGGUAAAGGCUUACCAAGGCAACGAUCAGUAGCUGGUCUGAGAGGAUGACCAGCCACACUGGGACUGAGACACGGCCCAGACUCCUACGGGAGGCAGCAGUGGGGAAUUUUCCGCAAUGGGCGCAAGCCUGACGGAGCAAUACCGCGUGAGGGAGGAAGGUUCUUGGAUUGUAAACCUCUUUUCUCAGGGAAGAAAAAAAUGACGGUACCUGAGGAAUAAGCAUCGGCUAACUCCGUGCCAGCAGCCGCGGUAAUACGGAGGAUGCAAGCGUUAUCCGGAAUGAUUGGGCGUAAAGCGUCCGUAGGUGGUUAAUCAAGUCAGCUGUUAAAGAGCGGAGCUUAACUCCGUUAGAGCGGUUGAAACUGAUUGACUAGAGUUUGGUAGGGGUCGAGGGAAUUCCCAGUGUAGCGGUGAAAUGCGUAGAUAUUGGGAAGAACACCGGUGGCGAAAGCGCUCGACUGGGCCUGAACUGACGCUGAGGGACGAAAGCUAGGGGAGCGAAAGGGAUUAGAUACCCCUGUAGUC
rnacentral:rRNA from 1 species